AAGGAAGGAGUUCUUAGAGCUUCUAACUCUUAAAUUUUAACCCUUCUAUU
rnacentral:tRNA from 1 species